AAGUAGUGUAGUCCCUAUCCCAGAAAGAGUUUCUGCCUGAAAUUGGAGUUGCUGCUAACUACUUGACUGAGGUGCAAGUAUGACUUAAUGGAGAUGCUAUCAAUGUGUAAUCUUGCCGUCGCGUUGAGAAAACAAGCUCUACAUUGAUUUCCAUAUGAACUGACUCCUGUCUGGGAAUGCAAAAAGUAUAAAAGAGAUUUGUCUGCUCGAGCAAGUGACAGAAAACUGUUAAGAGCUGGAGAGAUUCUCUAAUGUCCUUGAUUAACUGACAGCAUUUGGGAGCCC